AACGAACGCUGGCGGCAUGCCUAACACAUGCAAGUCGAGCGAGACAUUGGGGUUUGGUUGCGCACGGGUGCGUAGCGCGGGGGGACCUGCCUUUAGGUUCGGCAUGACUCGCCGGAAGAGGUGCUAAUACGGGAUCUUGUCCUGGAUCCAUAGUGUUGUCGCCUUUGGGGGGGCCGGCGUCGGAUUACCUAGUGGGUAGGGUAAAACCCUAUCACGGCGUCGAUCGAUAACGGGUCUGAGAGGAUGAUCAGCCACACUGGGACGGAGACACGGCCCAGACUAUUACGCGAGGCAGCAGUGGGGAAUAUUGGACUGUGGGCGAAAUCAUGAUCCACCACUGACGCGUGAGUGAUGAAGGCCUUAGGGUUGUAAAGUUCUUUUACCCGGGACGAUAAUGACAGUACCGACAGAAUAAGCUCCGGCUAACUCCGUG
rnacentral:rRNA from 1 species